rnacentral:rRNA from 1 species
UACAGAGGGUGCGAGCGUUGUUCGGAAUUAUUGGGCGUAAAGGGCGCGUAGGCGGUGCGGCAAGUCACCUGUGAAACCUCUGGGCUUAACCCAGAGCCUGCAGGCGAAACUGCCGUGCUGGAGUGUGGGAGAGGUGCGUGGAAUUCCUGGUGUAGCAGUGAAAUGCGUAGAUAUCAGGAGGAACACCGAUGGCGAAGGCAGGUCUCUGGGCUGACACUGACGCUCAUGCACGAAAGCGUGGGGAGCAAACAGG